UACGAGAAGGCAGCUACACGGCGACGUGAUGCUAAUCCCGAAAGCCUCUCUCAGUUCGGAUUGGAGUCUGCAACCCGACUCCAUGAAGCUGGAUUCGCUAGUAAUCGCGCAUCAGCCACGGCGCGGUGAAUACGUUCCCGGGCCUUGUACACACCGCCCGUCAAGCCAUGAAAGCCGGGGGUACCUGAAGUGCGUAACCGCAAGGAGCGCCCUAGGGUAAAACUGGUGAUUGGGGCUAAGUCGUAACAAGGUAAC
rnacentral:rRNA from 1 species